CUACCAAUUGCCAGAAAAGUGAAAGCCUCGUCUACGAUCAGCAACAAUCUCUGAAAGAAAAGGAAGGCCGAUCGAGUGCGCUUCCAAGACUCCAUGGUCGACAUUCUCCAGCUCCAUUACCGCCCUCAUUCAGAGGCACCAGGCAGUGAAAACCCAAAUUUCUCAACUCAACCUCGCUUCCCUCCAAUCCACCUCUUAUAGUUUCGCUUCCUUAUCACCAUCGCCAGCGCAAGGCAUUGAGAAUUUCGGCCUCCGUUUCGUUCUCCAACCCAGAGGUGCGAACCGGUCCCGGUGACCUUGUUGCGUCUAUCCUCUCCAAGGUGAUACAAACAGAUAGAGGAGUUUUGCUCAAAAAAGAAGAACACAAAGAGGUAGCUGCAGUGGCCGAAGAAUUGCAGAAAUACUGUGUUAAUGAGCCUGUGAAAUGCCCUCUUAUAUUUGGAGAUACCAAAUCCUUCUAUCGGGUCGACAUGGGUUCGGGUUCACUCUCUUUAGCCUUUCCUCCUCUCUCGGCGCCGCCAAUGGCCAUCUCGUCCUUUGCCAGUCUUCACACAAAGGGCUCCAAUCUUCUUCCAGCUGCUGAAGCUGGACAAUGUAAAUACACGGGCCAAUCAGUGGUGUGCACCAUCUCCAUUCUAUAAAACAAUUUCCUUUUAUGAUAUUUACAGCAUAAAAUUUCACCAAUAAUUUUGGGCAGAGAGCUCUUCCUAUACGGAUAUUAACAGUUGGGAAAAAGCGCUCCCGUGGGGUGCAACUCGUAGUCGAUGAGUAAAUCGGAAAACUAAAGAACUAUUGCAUUGUUUAUGAUGUUCAAAUACGGUCUAAUCCUAGAAAUGCACGUAAUGCAAGGGCUCAGGUCGAUGACGAGGACGCGGCUGUCAUGAACCUUAUCAAGUCUGAUGACUGGGUACAGUUUCGAGCUAAAUUGAGCAAUAUAGAUUGUAUGCAGUGACUUCAACCUGCCUGCUAAUUGAAGCGAGGUUUUGUUUGGUUGUGAUGUUGGAUGAGAAUGGACAAGACAUUGGGUCUGAGCGGAUGGCUGAGUUAGUGGGGGAUGCCGGGAAUACAGGAGCUUCUAGAUUAUCAUUUUGCAUAGGUGGACCCUAUGGUCAUGGACGACAAUUGCGCAAGCGAGCUAACUUAUCAAUCAAGUUGUCUACGUUGGUCUUGAAUCAUCAGAUUGCAGUGCUUGUGCUGAUGGAACAGCUGUAUAGGUCAUGGACUAUUCUGAAAGGACAAAAGUAUCGUCACUAGAUAUUCUUUCUCAUGAUCUGAAUCAUGUCUCAUAGACUGACACAUUCUGGCAUCUCUAAUGGACUUUUGAAGAUGGGGCUCAUCAUGAAGAUUAAAUGUUACUUGCUGCAUUUGAUAAAUAUCUUCAGUUGCUUCCCGGUGAAAAUCCACUAAAUGCAUGCUAUGAUGUCCUAAAGACAAUCCGUGGCAUUAUGUCCUAGUUUUUUAUUUUAUUUAUUUAUUUAUUUGUAAUAGCAAAGCAUCAUGCUAUUACAAUAGCCAUAGUUCUUAAUUUUUGUAUUCUAAAUAUUGUUUUGCAUAUCUUUAGUAUUAUAUGAUAUUAAUACAAUUCAUUUCUU